UUUUUUAAAAAGAAAAAGAAAAACCUACUGGAAAGAUAUAGAGAAGAUUAGUACUGUCCCCAUGCAAGAAUAACAUGUGAACUCAUGAAGCAUUCUAUAUAUUU
ensembl:snRNA U6 U6 spliceosomal RNA